rnacentral:rRNA from 1 species
GAUGAACGCUAGCGGCAGGCUUAAUACAUGCAAGUCGAGGGGUAACAUGGUAGCAAUACUGAUGACGACCGGCAAACGGGUGCGGAACACGUACAGAACCUUCCUUUAAGCGGGGGAUAGCCCGGAGAAAUCCGGAUUAAUACCCCAUAGUAAUGUUUGUUGGCAUCAAUAGACAUUUAAAGAUUUAUCACUUAAAGAUGGCUGUGCGGCUGAUUAGGUAGUUGGUGCGGGUAACGGCCCACCAAGCCAGCGAUCAGUAACUGGUGUGAGAGCACGACCAGUCACACGGGCACUGAGACACGGGCCCGACUCCUACGGGAGGCAGCAGUAAGGAAUAUUGGUCAAUGGACGCAAGUCUGAACCAGCCAUG